ensembl:lncRNA
GAAACAGUGAGAGACUUUAUUUUGGGGGGCUCCAAAAUCACUCCAGAUGGUGACUGCAGCCAUGAAAUUAAAAGAAGCUUGAUCUCUGGAAGAAAAGCUAUGACCAACCUAGACAGCAUAUUAAGAAGCAGAGACAUUACUUUGCCAACAAAGGUCCAUCUAGUCAAAGCUAUGGUUUUUCCAGUAGUCAUGUGUGGAUGUGAGAGUUGGACUAUAAAGAAAGCUGAGUGCUGAAGUAUUGAAGCUUUUGAACUGUGGUGUUGGAGAAGACUCUUAAGAGUCCCUUGGACUGCAAGGAGAUCCAACCUGUCCAUCCUAAGGGAAAUCAAUCCUGAAUAUUCAUUGGAAGGACUGAUGCUGAAGCUGAAAUUCCAAUAAUUUGGCCUACCGAUGGGAAGAGCCGACUCAUUUGAAAAGACCCCGAUGCUGGGAAAGAUUGAAGGGCUCUUUGGCUCACAUCAGAGGGCUGUAAUUGCUGGUGACAAAGAAAUAGAGGAAAACAACAGAAUGGGAAAGACUAGAGAUCUCUUCAAGAAAAUUAGAGAUACCAAGGGAAGAUUUCAUGCAAAGAUGGGAUCGAUAAAGGAUAGAAAUGGUCUGGACCUAACAGAAGCAGAAGAUAUUAAGAAGAGGUGGCAAGAAUACACAGAACUGUACAAAAAAGAUCUUCACGACCAAGAUAAUCAUGAUGGUGUGAUCACUCACCUAGAGCCAGAUAUCCUAGAAUGUGAAGUCAAGUGGGCCUUAGAAAGCAUCACUAUGAACAAAGCUAGUGGAGGUGAUGGCAUUCCAGUUGAGCUAUUUCAAAUCCUGAAAGAGGAUGCUGUGAAAGUGCUGCACUCAAUAUGCCAGCAAAUUUGGAAAACUCAGCAGUGGCCACAGGACUGGAAAAGGUCAGUUUUCAUUCCAAUCCCAAAGAAAGGCAAUGUCAAAGAAUGAUUAAACUACCGCACGAUUGCACUCAUCUCACACGCUAAUAAAAUAACGCUCAAAAUUCUCCAAGCCAGGCUUCAGCAAUAUGUGAACCGUAAACUUCCAGAUGUUCAGCUAGUUUUAGAGAAGGCAGAGGAACCAGAGACCAAAUUGCCAACAUCCACUGGAUCAUGGAAAAGCAAGAGAGUUCCAGAAGAACAUCUACUUCUGCUUUAUUGACUAUGCCAAAGCCUUUGACUGUGUGGAUCACAAUAAAUUGAGGACAAUUCCGAAAGUGAUGGGAAUACCAGACCACCUGACCUGCCUCUUGAGAAACCAAAGCACAAGCUGGAAUCAAGAUUGCUGGGAGAAAUGUCAAUAAUCUCAGAUAUGCAGAUGACAGCAUCCUUAUGGCAGAAAGUGAAGAGGAACUAAAAAGCCUCUUGAUGAAAGUGAAAGAGGAGAGUGCAAAAGUUGGCUUAAAGCUC